rnacentral:rRNA from 1 species
GAUGAACGCUGGCGGCGUGCCUAAUACAUGCCAGUCGAGCGAACAGAUAAGGAGCUUGCUCCUUUGACGUUAGCGGCGGACGGGUGAGUAACACGUGGGUAACCUACCUAUAAGACUGGGAUAACUUCGGGAAACCGGAGCUAAUACCGGAUAACAUUUGGAACCGCAUGGUUCUAAAGUGAAAGAUGGUUUUGCUAUCACUUAUAGAUGGACCCGCGCCGCAUUAGCUAGUUGGUAAGGUAACGGCUUACCAAGGCAACGAUGCGUAGCCGACCUGAGAGGGUGAUCGGCCACACUGGAACUGAGACACGGUCCAGGCUCGGACGGGAGGCAGCAGUAGGGAAUCUUCGGCAAUGGGCGAAAGCGUGACGGAGCAACGCCGCGUGAGUGAUGAGGGGUUUCGGCUCGUAAAACUCUGUUAUUAGGGAAGAACAGACGUGUAAGUAACUGUGCACGUCUUGACGGUACCUAAUCAGAAAGCCACGGCUAACUACGUG